GUAGGUGGCAAGCGUUGUCCGGAAUUAUUGGGCGUAAAGCGCGCGCAGGCGGUCCUUUAAGUCUGAUGUGAAAGCCCACGGCUCAACCGUGGAGGGUCAUUGGAAACUGGGGGACUUGAGUACAGAAGAGGAAAGCGGAAUUCCAAGUGUAGCGGUGAAAUGCGUAGAGAUUUGGAGGAACGCCAGUGGCGAAGGCGGCUUUCUGGUCUGUAACUGACGCUGAGGCACGAAAGCGUGGGGAGCAAACAGGAUUAGAUACCCUGGUAGUCCACGCCGUAAACGAUGAGUGCUAAGUGUUAGGGGGUUUCCCGCCCCCUUAGUGCUGCAGCUAACGCAUUAAGCACUCCGCCUGGGGAGUACGGCCCGCAAGGCUG
rnacentral:rRNA from 1 species